CUUUCGUAAGGAAGAGUGUUGUUCACCUGCAAUGCCCACCAUGGCUUGGUCUCCACUUCUCCAACUUCUGGUCCUCACUUACUGUUCAGGUUCUCUUGGCCAGUAUGCGCUGACCCAACCACCAUCCAUCUCUGUGUCUCCAGGACAAACUGCAGAACUCACUUGCUCAGGGGACAAGUUUGAUAAGUACUAUGUCCAUUGGUACCAGCAGAGAGCUAACAAUGCUCCUCAGCUGGUUAUCUAUAAGGACUCAGCAAGACCUGAAGGGAUUUUGGACCGGUUUUCUGGAAUCAGCUCUGGAACAAGCACUGGUGGCCUGGCCACCUUAACCAUCACAAAUGUCCAACAAGAGGACGAGGCUGAUUAUUACUGCCAAGUCUGGGAUAAGGAUAGCAGCCAGCUAGCACCGUGGCACAAACACAAAGGGAGCAAAAAACCUCCUGCUCACAGAGAUCAUGUCCUCCCCUCUCAUUCUGAGCAGUCAUUUCAUUAG